CCUCACAGGGAAGAAUAAAAGGAAGUUGAGGCUUUGUUUUGGGGGAACUGAAACUGUGAUUGAACCUCCAACUCAGGAGGGUCUUCUGCCCUUUGAGGAGGUGGCUGUGUAUUUCUCAGAGGAGGAAUGGUCUCUGCUGGAUCCUCGCCAGAAAGCGCUGCAUUGGGAAGUCAUGCUGGACAAUUAUAAGAACGUGGCCUUUCUUGAUGAUAAUGAGAAAGACAAUAAAGU